CCUACGGGGGGCAGCAGUGGGGAAUAUUGCACAAUGGGGGAAACCCUGAUGCAGCGACGCCGCGUGAGUGAAGAAGUAUUUCGGUAUGUAAAGCUCUAUCAGCAGGGAAGAAAUAGCGACCUUUGGGUCGCCAGACGGUACCUGAUUAAGAAGCCCCGGCUACCUACGUGCCAGCAGCCGCGGUAAUACGUAGGGGGCAAGCGUUAUCCGGAUUUACUGGGUGGAAAGGGAGCGUAGACGGCAGCGCAAGUCUGAAGUGAAAUGCCGGGGCUUAACCCCGGAACUGCUUUGGAAACUGGGAAGCUAGAGUGCAGGAGAGGUAAGUGGAAUUCGUGGUGUAGCGGUGAAAUGCGUAGAUAUUAGGAGGAACACCAGUGGCGAAGGCGGCUUACUGGACUGUAACUGACGUUGAGGCUCGAAAGCGUGGGGAGCAAACAGGAUUAGAUACCCGAGUAGUC
rnacentral:rRNA from 1 species